CAAUAGCGUAUAUUUAAGUUGCUGCAGUUAAAAAGCUCGUAGUUGGAUUUCGGGUGGGGCCUGCCGGUCCGCCGUUUCGGUGUGCACUGGCCGGGCCCACCUUGUUGCCGGGGACGAGCUCCUGGGCUUUAUUGUCCGGGACUCGGAGUCGGCGAGGUUACUUUGAGUAAAUUAGAGUGUUCAAAGCAGGCCACCGCUCUGAAUACAUUAGCAUGGAAUAACACGAUAGGACUCUGGCCUAUCUUGUUGGUCUGUAGGACCGGAGUAAUGAUUAAGAGGGACAGUCGGGGGCAUUCGUAUUUCAUUGUCAGAGGUGAAAUUCUUGGAUUUAUGAAAGACGAAC
rnacentral:rRNA from 1 species